UGGUUUUAAGGAGUUGAAUUGAAGCCUGUCGUUGAAAGCUAUUCAGGAAAUAUUAAAUAAUUAGCAUAGGAUCUUUUGCUUAUCUGCAUCAGAACAUGUACACAUAUAAUGGUAAAUGAUAAAUAAUUUGGCUGAUAUCUGAAAAGGUCAAGUCCAAAACCCUAAUCCAGGGGAGAGUCUUGGCAUUUUGGUCUAUGGGGAAUAUGGCUUCACUUAACUCUGAAAUCUUGGACUCUUAAUGAUUGGGAGUUAGUUUAUUGCUUAUGUGAUAGGUAUCAGUGUAUAUAUGAGAUUUACCUGAUAAUUUCUACGUAUACAAUUUAUAUUGUAUUAGUGUUUCUUGAAAGGGAACAAAUGGAAUAGAAAUAGUUAAGAAAAGUAGGAAACUCCCACAUCUUUGUACAAUGAGGAGAUCUGGUUCAUAUAGAUAAGGUUUAAAAAAAAAAAAAACAGAAGCAUUCUACAUGUGAAGACUUGGUGAAUGGUCUUUUCCAUCUUUUGUCUCUAAUGGACUUGUGCCCUAAUAGGAAUUGAACAGUUGUCCAAUAUAAUUGUUCAUUUUACAGAUUAGCCAGAGUCACUUAACAAAGUGAGAUAACCAGAGGCCAGAUUUGAAUCCAGGAAGAUGACCCUGACUACCAGGACUGGCACCACUCGUUUGCCAAUAGAUAAUACCAUUUGAAAUACACAUUGCAGUGAUGGUACAGAGACACAAAGGACAGUUUUUGUCCUCACAGAGCUGGAGCUGGGGUCCAGGCUCCAAGCACAAAUUUGGGGUUAUCUAUUUAGAAAUGUAGUUGAAGCUAUGGAAGGUCAUGAGGUAGUGCCUUCUCUUAUCUCUCCAGCCAAAAUACAGAAGUUUGGGACCAAAAUGAAGCAAAGAGCCCAAGAAGCAAUGGUGAUACCAAGGAAGAGCUAGGAGAAGGGGCACAGGGUCAGGAAAGAGAUGGCUCAAGCCAAACAUUGCUGAGACCACUUGUUUAAUAUUUCUAGGGGGUCUUUAAUCUCAAAGACACUUCGCAUUCUCUCCCAUGUUAUAAUUCAGAUUUUAUUCACUCCCCUUAUUCCUCUAUAAUUAUCAUGUAUGUUGUCAAAAUCAAACUGAAGGAUGAAGGAAUUUGUCAAACACUGUUUAUUCCACUAGUGAAGAUUUCUUUCACCAGAGAGGCUUCCUCAUCAACUAAUCAAAAACUAAUAAAAAUGUUUUUAGAGAA